UCCUGCUCAAUAUUUGUAACUCUUUUUCUUAUCAAAUACUUUUAACUGAAAAUGCCAAUGGGGUCUCUUCUUUUGUUACUUUCUGUAGGUGUACAUGAUGCCGGCCUUUUGGUAGUCUUCUCCAUUUGCCUCUUCAGUGGCUGAAUUUAAUCACCAAGCUGCUUCUAACUCAACAGCUUGUGAGGAAACCUCAGAGACACAGACAUCAGCCAGAACAGAAAAAGACCUCUGGGUUUACAAGAGAAAUAAUUUUGUCCCCAUGAAGAAUUAAGGUCUUCUGCAGAACUUUCCAGAAAUGAGCAGUCUUAGAUGGCAAUGCUGAUUUGCAUGGAAACAGGGAAUCCUGAAUAUACAAUACAUGAGAAGAGAACUACUGGGUGUUUAGAUGGUGUGACACAUGGUAUGCAGGUAUGCAUGUUUAUAGCAAAUGGCUGUGUGACUCAUAGCCAAGGUACAACUUGUCAGGACCAGGAACAUCAUAUGGAAGAGAGCAGAUAAAACAAUGAAGAAAUUUGCUACUGCAGACUAGAUUCUGAGCACAAGAAAACAGUAGCUUGACCUGUGGAAAUGACCAUGAUCUUGAAAAUAUCUCUUUGGCAUUAGGAGUAAAGAACAAGGAUUAAAACAAACAUACAUGAACCCAUAUGGCUACACAGGGAAGCCAGUUUUCAAGAGUGUGUGUACCCCAAAACAAUCACAAGAAAUCAAAAAUUUUUUAAAAAGCAAAAAUUGACAAGUAGGAUCUAAUUAAACUCUGCACAGCAAAAGAAACUAUCAACAGUGUAAACAGACAAUCUACAGAAUGGGAGAAAAUAUUUUCAAACUAUGUAUCUGGCAAAUGUCUAAUAUCCAGGGUGUGUAAAGAACUUAAAUGCAUUUACAAGAGAAAAACAAGCAACUCGAUUAAAAAGUGGGCAAAGGACAUGAACAGACAUGAUUCAAAAGAAGACAUACAUGAAGCCAACAAGCAUAUGUAAAAAAGCUCAAUAUCAUUGUUUAUUAGAGAAAUGCAAAUCAAAACCACAAUGAGAUACCAUCUCACACCAGUCAGAAUGGCUACUAUUAAAAAGUCAAGAAACAACAGAUGCUGGCAAGGUUGUGGAGAAAAGGAACAAUUAUACACUGUUAGUGGGAAUAUAAAUUAGUUCAAUCAUUGUGGAAAGCAGUACGGCAAAUCCUUAAAGAGCUAAAAGCAGAACUACCGUUUGACCCAGCCAUCCCAUUACUGGGUAUAAUACCCAGAGAAAUAGAAAUCGUUCUGCCAGAAAGACACAUGCAAGCAAAUGCUCAUUGCAGAACUAUUUACAAUAGCAAAGGCAUGGAAUCAACCUAAAUGCCCAUUAAUGAUAGACUGGAUAAAGAAAAUGUGGUACAUAUACACCAUGGAAUACUAUGCAGCCAUAAAAAAGAACAAGAUCAUGUCUUUUGCAAAAACAUGGAUGGAGCUGGAGGCUAUUAUCCUUAGCAAACUAAUGCAGGAACAGAAAACUAAAUACCUCGUGUUCUCACUUAUAAGUGGAAGCUAAAUGUUGAGAACUUAAGAACACAAAGAAGGAAAAAAUAGACACUGGGGUCUACUUGAUGGGGGAAGGUGGGAGGAGGCAGAGGAGCAGAAAAGAUAACCAUUGAGUACUGGGCUUAAUAACCUGGGUAAUAAAAUAAUCUGUACAACAAACCUCCAUGACACUUGUUUACCUAUGUAACAAGCCUUCACAUGUACCCUCAAACUUAAAUAAAA
rnacentral:lncRNA from 1 species